GGGCGUGUGGCUCAGUUGGUAGAGCGUUCGCUUAGCAUGUCUUCGGCAUGCGAAAGGUCCUGGGUUCGAUUCCCAGCUCGUCCA